rnacentral:rRNA from 3 species
UUUUGACCUCAAAUCAGGUAGGACUACCCGCU